rnacentral:rRNA from 1 species
UACGGAGGGUGCAAGCGUUGUCCGGAUUUAUUGGGUUUAAAGGGUGCGUAGGCGGCUAUUUAAGUCAGUGGUGAAAUCCUGCAGCUCAACUGUAGAAUUGCCAUUGAUACUGGAUAGCUUGAGUACAGAUGAGGUAGGCGGAAUUGACGGUGUAGCGGUGAAAUGCUUAGAUAUCGUCAAGAACACCUAUAGCGAAGGCAGCUUACUAGGCUGUAACUGACGCUGAGGCACGAAAGUGUGGGGAUCAAACAGG